GAUGAACGCUAGCGGCAGGCUUAAUACAUGCAAGUCGAGGGGCAGCACGGGUAGCAAUACUUGGUGGCGACCGGCGAACGGGUGCGUAAUACGUAUACAACCUACCUAUAACAGGGGGAUAGCCUUUCGAAAGAGAGAUUAAUACCCCGUAAUAAGUUGAAUGGCAUCAUUUGACUUUGAAAGUUCCGCCGGUUAGAGAUGGGUAUGCGUCCUAUUAGCUAGUUGGUGGUGUAAUAGACCACCAAGGCGACGAUAGGUAGGGGAUCUGAGAGGACUAACCCCCACACUGGUACUGAGACACGGACCAGACUCCUACGGGAGGCAGCAGUAAGGAAUAUUGGACAAUGGGCGCAAGACUGAUCCAGCCAUGCCGCGUGCAGGAAGACGGCCCUAUGGGUUGUAAACUGCUUUUGUACCAGAGAAAACCUACUCACGUGUGAGUAGCUGAUAGUAUGGUAAGAAUAAGCAUCGGCUAACUUCGUGCCAGCCGCCGCAGUAACAC
rnacentral:rRNA from 1 species